UCUGGUGACGAUGGCGAGAAGGUCACACCCGUUCCCAUACCGAACACGGAAGUUAAGCUUCUCUGCGCCGAUGGUAGUUGGGGGUUUCCCCCUGUGAGAGUAGGACGUCGCCGGGC
rnacentral:rRNA from 1 species